rnacentral:rRNA from 1 species
GAUGAACGCUGGCGGCGUGCUUAACACAUGCAAGUCGAACGGAAAGGCUCCUGCUUGCCGGGGUACUCGAGUGGCGAACGGGUGAGUAACACGUGGGUGAUCUGCACUGAACUUCGGGAUAAGCCUGGGAAACUGGGUCUAAUACAGGAUAGGACGAUGGUUUGGAUGCCAUUGUGGAAAGUUAUUUCGGUGUGGGAUGAGCUCGCGGCCUAUCAGCUUGUUGGUGGGGUAAUGGCCUACUAAGGCGUCGACGGGUAGCCGGCCUGUGAGGGUGUACGGCCUCAUGGGUACUGAGAUACGGCGCAGAAGCCUACGGGACGCAGCAGGGGGGAAUAUGGCACAAUGGGCGCAAGCCUGAGGCAGCGACGCCGCGUUGGUGAUGACGGCCUACGGGUGGUAAACACCUUUCGCUAGGGACGAAGCGCAAGUGACGGUACCUGGAGAGAAAGCACCGGCUAACUACGUG